rnacentral:rRNA from 1 species
UAGGGAAUCUUCCGCAAUGGGCGAAAGCCUGACGGAGCAACGCCGCGUGAGUGAUGAAGGUCUUCGGAUCGUAAAACUCUGUUAUUAGGGAAGAACAAAUGUGUAAGUAACUAUGCACGUCUUGACGGUACCUAAUCAGAAAGCCACGGCUAACUAUGUGCCAGCAGCCGCGGUAAUACGUAGGUGGCAAGCGUUAUCCGGAAUUAUUGGGCGUAAAGCGCGCGUAGGCGGUUUUUUAAGUCUGAUGUGAAAGCCCACGGCUCAACCGUGGGGGGUCAUUGGAAACUGGAAAACUUGAGUGCAGAAGAGGAAAGUGGAAUUCCAUGUGUAGCGGUGAAAUGCGCAGAGAUAUGGAGGAACACCAGUGGCGAAGGCGACUUUCUGGUCUGUAACUGACGCUGAUGUGCGAAAGCGUGGGGAUCAAACAGG